ACAGAGGGGGCAAGCGUUGCUCGGAAUCACUGGGCGUAAAGGGCGCGUAGGCGGGAUGGCAAGUCAGUCGUGAAAUCUCUCGGCUCAACCGAGAAACGUCGGCUGAUACUGCCGUUCUUGAGGGAUGCAGAGGAGACUGGAAUUCCUGGUGUAGCGGUGAAAUGCGCAGAUAUCAGGAGGAACACCGGUGGCGAAGGCGGGUCUCUGGGCCGAUACUGACGCUGAGGAGCGAAAGCGUGGGGAGCGAACAGGA
rnacentral:rRNA from 1 species